ACAGUACAAACUGAGCAGGCGAUGCCCGGAAGCGGGCGUGGGGCCGGGCCGCUUUAUCUGCGGCAGCAGAUUGCAUUUCCUUUUAUGCACAUCUGUGGGACAGUU
ncrna:unclassified sequences NiCo riboswitch